AUUGAACGCUGGCGGCAGGCCUAACACAUGCAAGUCGAGCGGAGCGGCGGACGGGUGAGUAAUGCCUAGGAAUCUGCCUGGUAGGGGGGGAUAACGUCCGGAAACGGGCGCUAAUACCGCAUACUAUCAGAUGAGCCUAGGGCGGAUUAGCUAGUUGGUGGGGUAAAGGCCUACCAAGGCGACGAUCCGUAACUGGUAUGAGAGGAUGAUCAGUCACACUGGAACUGAGACACGGUCCAGACUCCUACGGGAGGCAGCAGUGGGGAAUAUUGGACAAUGGGCGAAAGCCUGAUCCAGCCAUGCCGCGUGUGUGAAGAAGGUCUUCGGAUUGUAAAGCACUUUAAGUUGGGAGGCGUUACCCGCAGAAGAAGCACCGGCUAACUCCGUGCCAGCAGCCGCGGUAAUUC
rnacentral:rRNA from 1 species